AGCGAACGCUGGCGGUAGGCCUAACACAUGCAAGUCGAACGGCAGCACAGUAAGAGCUUGCUCUUACGGGUGGCGAGUGGCGGACGGGUGAGGAAUACAUCGGAAUCUACUUUUUCGUGGGGGAUAACGUAGGGAAACUUACGCUAAUACCGCAUACGCCCUACGGGUGAAAGCAGGGGAUCUUCGGACCUUGCGCGAUUGAAUGAGCCGAUGUCGGAUUAGCUAGUUGGCGGGGUAAAGGCCCACCAAGGCGACGAUCCGUAGCUGGUCUGAGAGGAUGAUCAGCCACACUGGAACUGAGACACGGUCCAGACUCCUACGGGAGGCAGCAGUGGGGAAUAUUGGACAAUGGGCGCAAGCCUGAUCCAGCCAUACCGCGUGGGUGAAGAAGGCCUUCGGGUUGUAAAGCCCUUUUGUUGGGAAAGAAAAGCAGCAGGUUAAUACCCCGCUGUUCUGACGGUACCCAAAGAAUAAGCACCGGCUAACUUCGUG
rnacentral:rRNA from 1 species